AGAGCCACAGAUAGGCAAGUGGAGAUAGCUGCCUCUAUUUAAAAAAGAAACAAGCAAAGCGUUAAAGCGCAGCCAAAAUACUGGCUGCUUGAUAAGCUAGGUCCGUCAGAUUUUAUUGUGUGCCCGCCUUUGUUGGUGCGCAGCAGCAACAACAGCUUCCCUCCACCUCCUCCUCACUCCGGAGCCUCCGUGAUUCCCGCCUAGCCGUGCAGCAGUGCGGUCCGCCGACGAAACGCCGGGGGGCGGCCGCUGCACGCACGCAGGGCUCGGUGAUUCACAGAGGCCCACCAGUGCAAUGAACUGGAACGACUCCUGCAAUUCCCAAUGGAGAUCUGGGGGUAGCGGUGGUGGAGAAGAGGGGACCGAGACCACCGCUGUGGCCGCUGAGAGAGGUCGCCAGUGGGUUAAAGUCCUCGACACAAACACUCAUUUAUCCGUCUGGCACGGUUCCGCGGCGAUAAAGACAAAGCAAUGGAGGACUGCUCCGUUAUGUUCAUUCAUGAAAUUAGAACCAUCCGAGCUUGCCAAAACGGCAACAUUUGCUCUCUUUUUUUUAACAUCCAAUAACGUGUUAAUACAAAUAAUAUAAUACAUUUUCAUACGGAGUUUAACAAUUAGCUCACCUUAAUUAAUUAUUUAAAGCAAAUAUGUAUCUUUGUUCCCUUUACCGUUACAGGCUGGCCAGCCGACCGUUAGUUCACGUUCAGUGUAAAGUGCAAGUUCACUGCCAGGAGAAACUUCCAGAAUAAUCACGUUCAGCUAGUCAAUCACAGAAGCUAAAGCCACACUGUCGUUCAAUCUAACGUCUAAUAAAGUCGCCAUUAAGUUGUGUUAAACAGAAUUGGACAGGAAUUUACAAGAAAGCCUCGUUUCGACCUGUAUGUCAGAGGACGAGACGACACAAAUACUGUGGGGCAUAGUUUCUGCCUCGUUUGACUGCACUGCGAAACCAGCUCCUCGGGUAUCAAAUACAUGUAGCCUCCGGCGGGGGAGUCCAUGUUUGUUUUGUUUUUGAAGCAGCUUUUCUACACCUUCGGGGCGACCUUAUUACCCUGCGGUUGCCCGGCGUCUUCAUUUGCAUGUGUCCCCCUGUCAUGUCAGGGAGCUGCUGUCACAGCAAAGAGGUGGGGGGGGGGAUUUAACUGCAACUUUCUGGAGGAUGGCUCUGCGGGCUCGCUGUGGCGAGUUUGGCUAAACUUUGCAGGGAGGUGAAGAGGUGAAUGUUUGGGCCAGACCUCAUCACAUCGUUCCAUAACACAUGACAAAAAUCACAGCAGUGGGACGCCUCAAAGGUCACCUUAGGGUCACGCAAUUUACAUUUCAUAAAAACAAAAGAAGCCAUUUCAUUUAAACAAGUAAAACAACGCCGAGGCGGUGACCCCAUCUAUGACCUUUUUCGCAUCCUUCACUCCUCUUCCCAGGUCAGCUGCUGAGGCGCCGACACCCAGAAGACAACCCGCUGAUCACUUCCGCCUCGUCUGCUGCAACAGGUGCCUGAGCCGCUCCGGCUCGGCUCGGCUCCUGCGAAUGAGAGAGGAGGAAUUUUUCAGUGCCCCGAUCCAAACCCAACAUCUGCCAAGGCGGCGAGAGACACUGGGUAGAGCGGAGUAUGUGCGACGAGGAAGAUUGUGUGUCUGGAGCCCACCCUCACCCCCUCCCCGCUGCCUCACACUCUGAGGCCCUGGCCACCGAGGUGUCAGCGGGUGCCAGACUGAAAGGCUGGCGAGACGACCUCAUUUAUUGUGCAGCUUGUACGCCCUCAACCCACAUUAUCUGCAGUCAUAACUGUGCGUGUGUCUCACUGUGUGACUGCAAGAUGAAAAGGGGAGGUUGAAGCCAGCCAGGAACCCCCACCCUCCACCCCCACCUCCUUCACAGACAGAAUUUGGACUGCUGUGCCGAGAUUACCCAGUAGCCUCCCUCCUCCUCCUCCUUCCCCAAAGCCUCCCGUGUCCGUUUGGCAGGAAGACGUGUCAGGGAUAAGAGAGAGAAAGUGCCUCCCCUGGGUGCUGUGCUCCAGCUAACCCAGAUUUUAUGCAGUGUGACACAGAGGAAGACACCAGCUCCUGUGCCGCGCUCAGAGCUGGCUGUCUGAACCUGGGCGGCCCCGCGAGCUGAAACAGCUUAAAUAACAGCCAAGGCAGAGCAAGUCAGAGCAGGAGCUCAGAGAAGAGUCCAUUACUACCUGAAUUCGUUUCGGGUGAGGCAAGUCCCACUCUCAACGAAGGUUUACGUAAAAAGGAGUUCUUCCAAAUUAUAGCCAGUUUGUUAGUUUUGGUUGUGAUUUUUUUUUUUCUUGUCAAGUCUUUAAAGAGAUUUAGAAGAGGUUAAAUCUGUGCUUUACUUGAUUUAUAGAUUUUGCUUUUGGUGUGUUUCCAUUCUCAUUUCUACAAUAGACAGGGGACAGUAUCGGCGUGAUAAUUAUAACGGAAACUAUUACAUUUUUAGAUAAUUUUUUCUUAUUUUCUUUAAAGAACUUUCAUAGCUUCCCUUAGUAUUUGGUAAUAUUAAACAGUAGGACUUGGCUUGAUGAUUUUAGGUGUUCAAAUUUAGGCCCAUUCCUGCUGUCAGAACCGUUGUAAGUGGGUCAGGUUUGUGGGCCGCCUCGCUCGUGCACCUUCUCAGCUCUGCACACAAAUUUUCCAAAUUUCUGAAAUCAGGGCUUUAUGAACUGUAGUGUUCUUAAGCUACUUUGGAAUUAUUUGGCUUUCAAUUCAAAAGACCUGUUUGUGCCCAGGCUUUAACUUCCAAGUUAACAUCUCGAAAUGCUGCUGCCAUAUUUCCAUGCGAUGCUUGUUACCCAUCAUGCCAUCUGCUUUGUGCACCAGCAAAAAUAGAUAUCAGCAGCAAAACUCCCCAUACAAUGACGCUGCCACGCCUUCACAGUCGACACAUUUCACUUUCAGCGUCAUUAGAAAAAUUGACAACUCUCCAUAUAUAAAGGUAUUUGUACUUGAGUCCAUUUGUAAACUGUGUGUUGUUGUUUUUUUAAAUUAUAUUUAUGUUGCUUUUGGAAUAAUGGAUUCUUCCUCUCUGCUUGGCCUUUUAGCCCAUGCAGUUACAUGACUCAUUUCCUUGUGGAUAAUAAUACUUUCACUCAGUAUUUUUACAAGAUAUCUUCCUUUUAUUCUGGGGUUGAUGCAUUUCAUGUUAAAACAUGUUUAUAAAUCCAUGACGCACAACCUGAUGGCUGGAAAUUUCCCUCCUGUUUGUACAUAUAUUUGUAGUUAAUAGCAGAGUAACAUGGCACCUUCAGACAUCUAGAACUGGUAGGCAAUGACCAACCAGACUUGAUAAGGACCAUAAUUCUCUUCCUGAUGUCUGUUGAUAUUUUUUUUGUAUCAAAAGCUGAUUAGAAUUCACAAAAUGUUCUUCUUUUGAACUCAAAUGGUGUGAAUUAUUCCAUCAGAAGCUUACAAUGUCACGAGAUCAUCACUGGCAAACAGUAAUUGUGUAUGUAAAUUUUUAAAUUUAAACAGAGUAGUAAAAUAUUCUGAUUUUUUCCCCCUAUAAUUCUGGCAUUUGGUAAAUAAAAAUAAUUCUGUCACUCUUUACUAACCUGAUUUGAUUACAUGUCAGACUUUGACAAUAUUAACAAAAAAAGACUUCAAAACAAA